rnacentral:rRNA from 1 species
AUGCGGAGGAAGCACAAGAAGGCUCAGCCGCCGGACCCGGCAGCUGCUGUGGAGCAGCCCAAAGCGAGAUCCAAUGCUUUCUGGGACAGGAUGGAGCCUUAUUUCCGGGAUAUGACGUUGCAGGAUUUGGAGAUGGCAGAGCCCAAGCCUCUCUCCAGCUCCAACUGGCUCGAUCCAUGCCUCCUCGUGCCGUUUGUGGGCAGUGGCAAGAAAGUGUUGCGGAGACAUGUUGAUCCGUCUGAUGUGGCCGUGGUCGCCGAAAACUCUAAUUCGAACUCGGUGGAGUUGGAGAACGGCAUGGUGCAUAGCAAACAUGAUCCACAUGAGAGCUCAGAUUUUGUUUGGAACAGUGCGGAGCUAGUCAAUAGCAAUGGGACCAGUGGAGAUCACUGUGAACGGGAUAUGCAGGAGGUGAUUUUGCACCAAGACGAGCAGCCGGUGGUAAUUAAACUAGAUCCAGGCAAGAGAGAUGGUGUUGUUUUACCAGUCCUCAGCCAGAAUCCGGACUCCUCAUUGAAUUGGCUCCUAGGAGCAAGAGGACGGGCUGUGCUCACUUCGGAGCGCCCAAACAAGAAAAGGAAGCUGCUGGGUGCAGAUGCUGGGCUUGAACAGCUUGUGGUCCUGCCACCCUUAGAAGGUGACUCUGGUUCAAAAUGUGAUGUAUGUUGUUUGGGAGAGAGUGAUGCUGCAUCCAACAGGAUGCUCCAGUGCAAUAGCUGCAAGGUGUCGGUGCACCGGAAGUGUUAUGGUGUGCAGGUCGAGCCAGAUGGCUAUUGGAUGUGUGCCUUGUGUGAACGGAGGUUGACACAGAGUGAUGCAGGCAGGAUUGCGUUUAUGCCUUGUGUGCUUUGCUCAACGGAGAAAGGUGCUUUGAAACCUGUAAAAUGUGAGCCUGGUGGAAUUGCAAAUGGGGGCAACCUGAAUUUUGCACACUUGUUCUGUAGUCUAUGGGCACCGGAGGUUUUUGUAGAGGACAUGGACUCAAUGGAACCUAUCACAAAUAUCGAAGACAUCCCAGAGAAGCGGACAAAAAUGGUCUGCACUAUUUGCAAGAUUAUGCGUGGUGCAUGUGUUCGAUGUAGCCAUGGGACAUGCCGGGCUUGCUUUCAUCCUAUAUGUGCAAGAGAGAAAAACCAUCAGAUGGAGAUAUGGGGAAAAUCUGGGCUUACGAAUGUUGAGUUGCGGAUAUUUUGCUCGAAGCAUUCUAGAGUCAGAGGAAUCAGUUCCGUGCACCAUAUCAAUGGUGUUACUGAACAGGAUACCACACAAGUUGGGCUGGAUGAUGAAAAUUUUGCUCAAAUAAGAUAUAAACGCAAGAGUAAGGACAAAUUCAUGAACUUCACAUCCAUGAGCUCUAGUUUCUCCAGCCUAAACAAAGCGCAGACAACAGAGCUGGUUACCUCCACAUGUGCUGUUAGAGGCAUGGAAAGUCAACAAGUUCAAUGCACAAAUAUGGUUGUUGAUCAGCCUACAGGAGCUGGGAAUCUUGUGAGCAAUUCUGGUGAUGUUUCUACAUUUCUUAGAAAGCUAAUUGACCAAGGAAAAGUUAGUAUUGGUGAUAUACAAUCAGAGCUGGGUCUCUCAUCUGAAUCGUUGGAAGCUGCUCUUGUGCCUGAAACAUCCACCUUCUCCCCUGGUCUGAAGUUGAAAAUCAUCAAGUUGCUGCAAAACUCUAUUCCUGUGCCUUCUGUUCAAGUGAAAUCUUUAAAAGAAGGUUCUGUGGCACCGGAAGGUCCAUUGGAUAGAAGUGAAAGUAAGAAUGUAACUGAUUCACAACAUGGCUCAGAACUUGAGGAAGGCAUCUCUUCAUUUGAUCAUUGUUUUCCGGAUGGUGAUAAAGCUAAUAAAGACACUGAUUCAGUUGAAAAUUGCGUGCACACUUGUCAUGAUGGUGGUGACGACCAUAUUCCGCGCCAACCUUUUCUUACCAUUGAUGGUCAUGACUACUAUAUUCAUCCAUCUAUUGAGACAAUGUUGCAGAAUUUGUGCGAUUAUAUUCCGAAUCACAAUAAACAGGCUAAACAUUAUCAUGUAGGAGAAUUAUCCUACCCUCCUCAUGACCAAAACCUUGGUGGUUCACCAACAAAACUUGAGCAAUUAACAGAUAUAGUUGCAGUUGAUCAGGCUUCUAAAGCAGAGUCAUUAGGUAUUUUGGAGCAUUCACCCCAUGACGAAAUAGAAGGAGAAAUAGUUUAUUUACAAUCCAGGCUACUCAAUGAUGUUGCUGCUAUGAACCAGAGAUAUGAAGAUCUUAUGCCUAAGGUUGUCCAGAGUCUUUCUCAAGAAAUGGAUUCUUCCAAUAAAAGAAAAUGGGACCAUAUCAUUGUGAAUCAGUUCCUUCGUGAUAUAAGGGAAGCUAAGAAACGUGGGAACACAGAGAGGAGACACAAAGAAGCUCAGGCUAUCCUAGCUGCAACUGCACCUAUUGCUGCACCCACCUCAAAAGAUGUAAACAUUCGGAAAGAGACAGAAAAUGACGCUGUGCCUGUCAAACAAGAGAGUAUUACCAAAGUCCAUGCUGGAUCUUUAAGAAUCAGCCAAUUGAUUUCGUUGCCACAAACAAAGGAUCCAUCAUUUUCUAACAGUAAAGUCUCAGCGGAUACUAAUUUUGGCAUUUUUGAUCUGGCAAAAUUUUCCAAGAAAAAUGGUCUUCCGUGUGAUGUGUGCAUGCGACGUGAGACUGUAUUGAACCGAGUAUUUGUCUGCUCAAGCUGCAAGGCUGCUGUCCACUUGGACUGUUACCAGAGUCGAACGAAUCCCACCGGCCCCUGGAAGUGUGAACGUUGCCAAGAGAUGCUAUCAGAUGCUGUCGUGUCUGAUAGUCAAUCAGACUGCAGUGGUUCAAAAUCCUGGUUGGUGCUGUGUGGUUUGUGCCAUGGUACAUCAGGAGCUCUUCGUAAGACUACAAACGGGCAGUGGGUUCAUGCUUUUUGUGCUGAGUGGCUCCUGGAGAACUCAUUCAAAAGGGGACAAUGCAAUUCAGUAGAUGGAAUGGAGGGUCUUCUUAAGGGGAAAGACACAUGCUUGAUCUGCCAACACAAUGUUGGCACAUGCUUGAAGUGCAGCACCGUAGGCUGUCAAGUUACUUUCCACCCUGCAUGUGCUAGAGAUGCUGGUCUUUACAUGAACACAAAAAGAUUUGGGAGCUUGUGGCAACACAAAGCAUAUUGUGGCAAUCACAGCAUUGAGCAAAAAAAGGUUGACUCUCAACAAUAUGGACCCGCGGAAGUCAAGAUCAUGAAACAAAUGAGGGUUGAAUUGGAAAGAUUACGUCUUCUUUGCGAGAGGGUUGUUAAAAGAGAAAAGGAGAAGAAAGAGUUGCUUGUAUGUGAACAUGAUAUACUUGCUGUGAAGAGGGACUAUGUUGCCUUCUCGAUGCGGGCUUCAUGUUAUACGCCUGCACCUGGAGCAAGUUCAGAAUCUGCCACUACUUCCGUUAAUAAUAAUUCAUAUGGUGGGAAAAGACAAAGGUCGGAUGAUAUCACAGCGAGAUCAGACGAUGUGACGGUGGAUAGUACUAUUCCCAGGAAACACACUAUCAGGUUCCCAGUGCAUAGCAAGGACACUGAUAGGAAUACAGCUGACAGUUCGACAUCAACAAUAUCAUACAAGCGUAAGUUGGAUGAUGUGGAAUCACUCGCUCUUAAGAAUCUUCAAGAAAGAGCAGCUACUGCCUUGCAGAAAUCAGAAGACGGAGAAACAAAGUCAACAGAUAAUGCCUUGCAGAAAUCAGAAGACGGAGAAAUAAAGUCAACAGAUAAUGCCUUGCAGAAAUCAGAAGACGGAGAAACAAAGUCAACAGAUAAUGCCUUGCAGAAAUCAGAAGACGGAGAAACAAAGUCAACAGAUAAUGCCUUGCAGAAAUCAGAAGACGGAGAAAUAAAGUCAACAGAUAAUGCCUUGCAGAUAUCAGAAGAUGGAGAAACAAAGUCAGCAGAUAAAAAGCAUGCGGAAACAGCUAAAAAGGAGCCUGCUAUCACAUCUGACCAAGCUGUGUCGCAGAAACAACACCCUCCAAAGAGACUUGUUUAUACUCGCCGUGGCUCCUCCAAAAAGAAGCAACGGAGUCAGGAUGUUGUAGUACAAGGGCCUGUUGGUGGAUAG